GCACUGCUGAUGCGUCCCAAACAAGACGAAACAGCUGUCCAGUAC
rnacentral:hammerhead_ribozyme from 1 species